AUUGAACGCUGGCGGCAGGCCUAACACAUGCAAGUCGAGCGGAUGAAGGGAGCUUGCUCCUGGAUUCAGCGGCGGACAGGUGAGUAAUGCCUAGGAAUCUGCCUGGUAGUGGGGGAUAACGUCCGGAAACGGGCGCUAAUACCGCAUACGUCCUGAGGGAGAAAGUGGGGGAUCUUCGGACCUCACGCUAUCAGAUGAGCCUAGGUCGGAUUAGCUAGUUGGUGGGGUAAAGGCCUACCAAGGCGACGAUCCGUAACUGGUCUGAGAGGAUGAUCAGUCAAACUGGAACUGAGACACGGUCCAGACUCCUACGGGAGGCAGCAGUGGGGAAUAUUGGACAAUGGGCGAAAGCCUGAUCCAGCCAUGCCGAGUGUGUGAAGAAGGUCUUCGGAUUGUAAAGCACUUUAAGUUGGGAGGAAGGGCAGUAAGUUAAUACCUUGCUGUUUUGACGUUACCAACAGAAUAAGCACCGGCUAACUUCGUG
rnacentral:rRNA from 1 species